rnacentral:misc_RNA from 1 species
CGAAAGAAUCGGUUUGUCUUGCUGGCCCUUUCCGCCUGACGCCCUUGGUGGGUGUGGGGUGGACAUCAGGAUGAUGGCACCUGGCCGUCCCGCUCGGGACUGCCUUGGCCCAUGGGUGUCCCCGUUCUCUCGGAUACGGAAUGCCUUGCGUGGGUGCGGGGUCUCGGCCUUCGCUAGCCCAAGCUACGCAUUUGAUAGAGUAACACGAACGACUGCCGUGCCCGUCUUGACCUCGCGUGCCUUCUUCGGCUCGACGUGGGUCAUGCGGGCGUGGGUGUCGCCCAGGAAUGCUACCUGGUUGAUCCUGCAGUAUCUAUGCUUGUCUC